CAUGGUGUCUUGCUAGUUCUU
rnacentral:piRNA from 1 species